rnacentral:lncRNA from 1 species
UUCUAGCAGCAUCUGUAGAAGCUGUUUCUGAGACUUUUAGCGAUGAAGGUCUCUGAUGAAAUAAACUGCUGAUCCUUUUGCGUCGAAAAUCUGCCCGAUCACCAUAAUAGAAUGUCAUCCGCCUCCUUUCAUAUUUGGCGAAUACAAGCUGCCGCGGGUGGCUUCCUCUAAGAGCUUUUCCACUUCCCCGGCACGCCCCCUGUCCGGGGUUCUAUAGAAGAUAGCCGACGAAGCGAGACCGCCGUCCAGGUCACCGGCAAAAUGAACACACGCACACUGCUGCUGGUCCUGCUGCAGCCUCAAACCGAGCUUCAAGUCUUCUGAUAUCUAUCUAUCUAACUUCCCAUUUCCUUCGGAUCCUGAAUCUCAACAGCCAAUCAACGACACGGCCAUCUAUGGGACAUCCAUUCUGUGUCCCAUUGCUGAGCGCUGAGCCACCAUACAUUCGCCACCCAAGUCUCCUCCGAGUCGGAGCUCACGAUGACCCUAAAGGGACAAAUGUAGUAGUGGUAUUUUCAGCACUGGCGGUGGGAACAGAUGAUAACUUAUAGCCGAGUAAUUGGCACUCCCGAGAGUGGUGAUAUACAUCUUUGAGAGUGUGAGCCCACAUGGUCCAUAUGCCACACAUCGAUAAGCUGCAAAGGUUGGCAUAGCAGGCAUGUGGCAAGUGCGCUGCAAGUAUAUGCAAAGCCACCUAGAUAUACGACAGUGAUGUCAGAGUGCAAAAAUAAUCAUCAAAAAGAUUAAGCACAGCAUUUUGAGACAUAAAAGAUGGCAAGCGGCGAUAUGCUUUGUUAUAAAAAGCUCUAGAAAUAUAGGGGUUUUCAUCAGCCUAAAGAUUCAUUGGGAAUAUCAUACUUUAGUCAUAUGGUUACGAUAAUAAGAAUGUCUACAAAUUUUGGUGCCCGCCGGUUCGCUGUCACCGGAAGGAAUUCCCUGCUGAGCGAGUAAAUGGCGAUAGCGAAAAGAGUUUACCAUCCUGGCCUUAGCACCACCCGUUGUUUCGACCCCGGAUGCGUGAAAUCCUGCUAUGAUAGCACGUUCCGUGGCUAUCGGUCGCAUUCCGGACCCGCCCAGUGUUUAAAUUGUUUAGCCAUUACCGACUCGCUACCAUUGCGAUGUGUUCGCUGAAGAGUCCUCCCACAGACGCCGUUCGCUGGAUCGCCCGUCAACCGAUGGCAACUGGGCAUACGUCGCUUAACUACCGGUUAAUAGCGCAUAUCUAAAAUAGCAUGAGCUGACUCUAAGCUCAGUUGCCCCAAAUGAGAGCAGGAUCUAAAAGUGGGGGCUUGAGGGGGUUCGAUUUGUUGGGAUAUGUGCGCAACGAAGUUCCUUCGCUCGGCUCGCGAUGACAGUGAGCGGGUAUUCGAGGAAGCGCGAGACGCCUUGUGCUCAUCCACCCCCACCAACUUGUUCAUGAUUUUUACUACUACCAAUGCAUAGGUACGUAUAUAGUUCAUAAGCGGAUCUGCUUGAUGCGUCCGUAGAUACCGCCUCCCUAACCGGACCUGCUUCAGUCCCUCUAUGAGCGGUUCUAGAAUAUUUAGGUACGCCACUAGACCUACAUCUCAUCAACAUCAAGAUAUCUGACAGUAAGCAAAAACCUUGUGAAUUAGCUAUCAGCGCCUAGCUGACUAGGUUCUUUGCGUCAGACGAUUCGAUUUCGUUGAACGAGAACCUGCUGGCUCACUGAUUUUGGCUGACCGCGAGACAUCGCUGAGGUAGGCUGCUAAUUUCGCUAGAAACUUGUUCAAGUGUACUCCAUAACUAUUCUAGCAUAUCGCAUCUACCUGAGUAGGUUUGCCAGGUCAGCGGCAGCAGUAGCGACAAUAACAAGUGUGAACCAGCGUGAAAUCUUUAACCCUUUUCGAUUUGGAGGUAUAUUGAAGAGAGUCCUGUGGUGACUAACUUGUAGCAGGCAGGCCGGGUUGCUAUAUGUUUGGGCUCUAUUGAGCAAUUACGUUGAAGUCAUCCGAGAAUCCUCUGACCCGCGAAUGUAGCUACUUAGAGUUGUCAAAACAGCUGUUAAUUCGACACUCAGUACCUUCUGGAAUCGUCGGAUCGUCGUAUUCCUACUAUCUUGAUUUCGUCAACGAUGGAUAUGGUCAAGCAGCGACUAGCACCUGACAGGUGUUAAUUUUAACUGACUGAAAAUAUAGAGCAAAGAGGUGGAUAAUGGAACAAUCCCAAUUUUACCAAACGAACGAUCAUUGUGGCUGGUCA